CUUUCCUGCUUUAAGAAUCUUCAGUCAAUGACUGACUGAAGACAAUGAAAUAGCCCGUCUCCCACUGGAAGAGGACAAUGGCUUUACAGACAAGAAGAUUACCCCUCAGCAGCUUUACCAGAUACCAUCUGCAAAGAAGAUCAAUAUAUGCUCUCAGUUUAAGGUCCAAGGUCUGUUUGACCACCCAAAC